UGAACUUUGAUGAAACUCCCUUGUGUUCAUAGUUAACCUUGGUGAAACUCCCUUGUGUAAUUAUCAGAGUUAAAGAUGUCUAGACCAGUAAGGGACAUACUGACAUGGACUCUAUGUAACUAUAGGCUGGUCUACUCAGAGGUGGUGGGUAAGCUGGCGUAAGUGUUGGGUCCAGUAGUUGAAAAAAAGCGCAGCCUCAUGUUGUGCUUGACAGAGUUUCUGCCCAUCCUGUGGUUGAUAUCCACUGGCGCUACCGGACGGUAGUCCUCUACCCGGAAGGUAGUCGCGCAUGCGCACUACCCGAUCAGUCGCCACUUUGAGACACUGUAGAGUAGACAGCGGAAUACAAUCGCUGGCUAAAGCUGAUGGAAGUUUGCGAAAGACGGUAUACUUUAAGAAGUUUGGUCAUUGUAUACCGCUGUAAGUUCUUAACGUUUGUAUAAUAAAGAAGUUAAAGAUAUACUGGAUAUCCUCUUUUGUUCUCCCUGUUGAUAUCCACAAACUCUAUCCGACCAGUCGACGCAAGCCGCACGCAGACCGCAAGGCUGUGAUUGGUCGGCUAACUACAUCAUUUCCGGAGUCUCACAUAUUUCCGGUUUCAUCCCCUCAAAUCAUAAUACCGCCAUUUUUUUAAAUCCAAGGCAGAAACCAAGGAAGAUUUGAAGAGCGAACAUGAACCAAAUCGAAGAGCGAUUAGCAGAAGAGGUCAGGAAACACGAGCACUUGUAUAACCCGUAUCGCACGGACAAGGACCCACAGACCGCGUACAAUUCCUGGAAGGUGAUCUCGGCCAGCGUUGGUUUGGAGGUGCUGGAUUGUUCGACGAUGUGGCGGAAGAUGAGGGACAGAUUUGUCCGCCAGAAUAAGGCCUUGAGGGGCAGCGGUGACCAGAAAGCCACUGCCUUUUAUAAAUUCCUGUCGUGGUUGGAACCACACAUAAGACACAGAGAGACGUCGUCAAAAUACGAUAAGCCCUCACCUUGCAACGUAGCCACGAAGAAAGGACCUUCGUUAUCCACCCCAACACCUGAGGCCCCCCCCGAAACAUCUACCUCUUCACCCGAGGCCUCUGUCCAGCCAUCCACCCCAACACCCGAGGCCUCUGUCCAGCCAUCCACCCCAGCCACACCUGAGGCCUCCCCCGAAACAUCCACCUCUUCACCCGAGGCCUCUGUCCAGCCACCCACCCCAACACAUGAGGCCUCCCCCGAGACAUCCACCUCAGUUUCUCCGCUCCCCAGUGUACCGGCUCUGUCCACCCCUCCAGCCGCCAUGAGGCUGGCAUCUCCUCUGUCCCGCAGGGGCCGGAAGAAAAGGCAGAGGGGGCAGGAUGACGGGCAGAGGAGGCAGGACGACAGGCAGAUGAUCCGGCUGGACGGGCAGAGGAGGCAGGACGACGGGCAGAGAGGGCAGGACGACGGGCAGAGGAGGCAGGACGACAGGCAGAUGAUCCGGCUGGACGGGCAGAGGAGGCAGGACGACGGGCAGAGAGGGCAGGACGACGGGCAGAGGAGGCAGGACGACAGGCAGAUGAUCCGGCUGGACGGGCAGAGGAGGCAGGACGACGGGCAGAUGAUCCGGCUGGACGGGCGCAGGCUGGACGGGCAGAAGAAGAAGAUGGGGGUCAGGGAUGAGUAUUCUAGAUUUGGUGAGCUGGUGGCUGCUAUGAUGAGCAGGGUGCAGGAAGAUAAGAGGGCCGAAGCAAUGAACUCUGUGUACAGCCUGUUGGACAGAAGCAAUGCACUCUGGGUACAGCCUGUUGAACUGAAGCAAUGCACUCUGGGUACAGCCUGUUGGACUGAAGCAAUGCACUCUGGGUACAGCCUGUUGGACUGAAGCAAUGCAGACUGACUGUGUACAGUGUGACGACCCCUCCACGCCACUAGGAGUCUUUUCCCUCUUGCUGGCCCUUUUCCAGGUUUCCUGUUUGGAGUGGUGGGUCAUCAGGCCUGAUGAGUUACACCUGUGGCCGGUUUGGCUCUGUGGCCUAUACCAGCACUCCUUCUCCAGUUCCCGGGAGAGAUCCCUUCCCCGUUGCAGACGGCUGCGUUUUGACUGUUGUUAUCCUUAUUUCAUUAUCUUUGUAAUAAAUGAUUGUUACUUCGUUCAUCCCUCG
ensembl:lncRNA